GGGCAUGUCUUUGACGUACUAUGUACUGAAAGAUGGACUGCUCAGUAAUACUCACUUUAUUUGAUGUACAUUAUACAUAACUACGUUAAAGUGUAGCUAACAUAUGUACAGUAAGAGUGAGACCUAUCAGCUAGUUGUUAAGGUAAUGGCUUAACAAGGCAAUAACGGGUAACGGUAUUACUUUGUAAUAUUCCGGAGAAGGAGCCUGAGAGACGGCUACUAAGUCUAAGGAUUGCAGCAGGGGCGAAACUUGACCUAUGGAUAUUAUCUGAGGCAGUUAUGGGAAGUAACAUAGUUGUUUCACAUUUUAAAC
rnacentral:rRNA from 1 species